rnacentral:lncRNA from 1 species
GUUUUGACGUAACCGUGACUGAACUGAGUUAUGUUUUAUUACGUUUUUGCGAGUUAGUUACUGUAACUUGGUUACUCUUAACAGUUUAGUGAGUUUUAUAACUGUCCAUGUCGAAUUGGAAAGAGUUUAUUGAUGUUCUAUUACCUGCUAGUUGGACUAAGUUGAACACGUGUGAAUUCUGAAUCGUGUAAUAAAAAGAUGAAAAAUAAUAAUUUUUAAUUUAAUCAAACAUCUACGUGACACGUGCUUAUACUAAUUGAUAGUAAGUUGAAGUUAUAAUGAUUGUAUUGACUAGGUACCUAUAUCUUGUUGUAAAAACUUCUAAAAACUAGAUAGCUUGAAAAAUGGUACCAUUAAGCUGAAUUUUAGUAUACACCUAAAUAACACAUGUGUGAAAUCGACAAAGGGCAUUUUUAGACCUUGACUAUGGGGGGAGGAUGAGUAAUAAUUAAAUUUAAUAUUAAUGAUUGAUAAGAAAAAUAUAUGUCAAAUUAUAUUAAUUAAAUCUACCUACUUCUGGACCAAUGACUAUGCCAAAUGCCAAUGAAAGUUCACUUCUCUCAGGAAGGGGGGGAGCGACCGCUCCCUUAAUAAAGGCGCUCCUGAAUCGAAAUGAUAUUCGAUUACACUUCAAAAGGUCACGAAAACUUUUUUUUUAGAAAUAUUUUGAUUUUAGUUUGUUGUAAGAUAAAAAGUUUUACAAAAGUUAUAGUAGAGAAAAUAAUCUUAAUUUUAUUUUUUAUUGUUUACAAAUAAUCGUUUUUGCGGUUUACGAAUUUUAAUGUUCAUCUUACAAAUAUGUGAAGGUAUUUAUAUAACAAUAAUACAAAUGCAAAUUUUAAAUGUUUCCAUAUUAUCAUUUAGGUAGAAACGAGGCACGUUUUUUUCAUGGUUUCUCCGUGACUUGAUUUAUGUAUAGUUGAUAAUAUUCAUAUCAUAAUAUUGUCUGUAAAAAAAAAAAAUAAUCAAAAAUUAAAUAUCAUAUUUUAUUUAUUAAUUUAUGACUUCGCCCUCGUCUCCUAUAUCGUAAUCGUAUACCUCUUCUUUAUCAUCUUGGAUUUUAAAUUCUGAGAGCAGCGAAGAAUGUAUUAGUUUUAUUAAGAUGUUUAUUUUUUUUUUUUUUGUUUAUGUGAACACUUUUUCUACCAGAAAGCUUACUCUGAUGUAUACGACGUAGACCCUUUCCUGAAAGGAAAUUUUCUUGGGCUGGUACUUUAAAACGGUGAUUUUUUGAUUUUCCCGAGAGUUUUCCCAGCAAAUAUGAAAAACCGAGAAAAAACAUGGACAACUGGGAGAACGGAAAAAUAAGUAUAAUAUUAAAAAAAUUAUAUUAAAGAAAAGGUUUAAUGUAGCGUUAAUCAAACUUUGGGUCGCGACCCACUUGUGAGUCUCGAGUAAAUUUUUGGUAGGUCGUGAAAAUUGUUUUGAAUUAUACAUAUUCCAAGAAAUUUAUGUUUUUAGAUUCUGAGCGGAGCAAGGAAUGUAUUGAUUUUACAAUGGUGUUUAUUUAUUUAUUUUUAUCUGUGAACAACUUUUCUACCAAGAAUUUUGCUCCGAUUUUUAAGUUUCUAAAAGAAAAUCUGACUGGGGUGGUACUUAGAGGGAGGUAAUUUUUUGAUUUUUCCAGCUGUUUUGAUAAACUACUUUUUGAAAAGUAAAACCAUGUGGGUCACCUUCCUAAGAAGAUUGAGAACCACUGGUUUAAUGCAUAAUAUCUAAUUAAUUUACUAUAAUAUAACCUAUGUAUUGUUGAAAAAGCAACAUUAUCAACCGAACUCUACUCAGAAUCGUUUUUUUGUUAGCAAAGGUUUACCAUUGCUUACAGAUAUCCAUUAAAUUACCUUUUGUAUCUUAUCUUUCCACUUACAACAGUGGCUGCACCCAUCAUGUGCGAAUUAUGUCCGUGUGACGACGGUGGUGUGAUUUUACAGGCGUAUUGUACUGUUAUAUUUUAUUUGAUACGUAUUGAAACAUAUCUAACGAAAGAAAUAAAUCAAAAAAAAAAGAUUUGAUCACCUGAAGAAAUAGGGACGGCUGUGCCACUGUUGUAGAUGGGAAGUUGAGAAGGUAGGAUACAUAAAGUAAUUUAAUUUAUAUCUGUAAGCAACGCAACAAUAAACCAUUGAGGGUCCACAUAAAAACUUGGACGGUACAAAUCUGGACGGUUUAUAAAUUUGAAAUAUAAUAUUUUAAAAAAAAGAGCUGAUACUGGGAACUGUGCAGCCACUAUUGUAGUUGGGAAGUUGAAAAGGUAGGAUACAUAAAUUUAUUUAACUUAAAUUGUUUGCAACGAUAUACCGUUGCUAACGAAAAAACGAUUAAAGUUAAUCAUAAAAAUUACGGCAUUUCAAAAUGUCUUACCGAACUUCGCUCUGAAUCUUUUUUUAAAUAUUAAAUUCCAAAAUUGUACCGUCCAGAAUUUUUACGGAUUUCAAAAUUGUAUAUUCCAGAUUUGUACCGUCCAAGUUUUUACAUUCCAGGUUUUUACGUGUUCCCACCAUUGCUAACGAAAAACGAUUCAGAGCAAGAUUCGGUUACAAAUGUUUAAUAGGCCGUAAUAUUUUCGGAUUAUCGUCAUAAUUUGAAAUUAAAACUUUAAAAACAAAUACUUUAUUAUACUUACUUAAUUAUUUUUUUGAAAACUAACGACUUAUAAUGAACUUCUUGUUUAAUUUUCAAGCAUGACUAACAAUUUUAUCUACAGAGUACCUACCAAAUAAAAAUUGUGUAAAAACUCGCAAAUUUAAAUGUCUAUAAAUAGCUCAAAAAUGGCUUAAAUAUUACCACGUUUAGAAAAAGCAAAUAUGUCAUCCGUCAAAAUUUAAAUCUUUACGAAUAUUUUUAAGAGAAUUAAAACAAAAAAAGACGGACAUAAUUCGCACGUGGCUGCAGCUACUGUAAUUGUUGUAGUUGGGAAGUUAGAACGGUAGGAUACAGAAUGGAAUUUAAUGUAUAUAUGUGAUCAACGAUAAACCAUUGCUAAUGAAAAAACGAUUCUGAGAGGAGUUCAAUUGAGAGUGAUGCUUUGACAACAAUAUAUAAUAUGUCAUGUUAUGGUAAGAUAAUUAAAUAUUCAUUAUAUAUUUUCUUUAUAAUAUUUGUUUAAUAUUGUACCGAUUUUCCCGUUUCUCCAUGUUUUUCCUGAUUUUCACAUUAGCUGGGAAAACUUAGGAAAAUCAAAAAAUCACCUUUCUAAGUAUCACCCUAAGAAAAUUUCCUUUAAGAAAAAGGUAUGCAUCACAUACAUCGGAGUAACCUUUCUGAUAGAAAAAGUUCAUAUAAAAGAAAAAAAAAACAUCUUUGUAAAACCAAUGCAUUUUUCACAACACUCAGAAUCUAAAACAAAAUUAAAAAUAAUAAUUAUAAAAAAAAAAACAUUGUUUUCGUUAAUUUCCCCAUUCUUUCUGCGUUUUUUUUUUCAGUUUUGCUCAAUUUUUUAAAAAAAUCUACUGGGAAAUUCAAAAAAUUACUUUCUUACCCAAUAUUCAAAAUGUAACAAAAAUGGUCGCUUGGUAUUUUUUAAUUAAAACAAUAUUUUCUAUAGAAAAUAUAGUUCAUAAAAAUUAAAAACAAUGAAAUCAUAACGCCGUGGUAUGCCGUAAAUACUUGCCGUUUGUCCGAUAAUUUUUUUUCCCGAUUUUUACCAAUUAUUAUGAAAAUCGAAAAAAAUUACCUCCUCAACCACAAUGCACCAACUAGAUUACAUUUACUUUCCAAAAAGGUGCCACACUUAAUACAUCGGAUCAAGAUUUCUGGUUGAAAAGUUGCUCUUAGAUACAAAAACAAAAUACUAUCAUCAUAGUAAAAACUUAUAGAUCCCCGCUACGCUCCAAAUCUAAAACAACUAUAUCUAUAACGCUUGAAAUUGUAAUAUGGCUAAAAGCCAAACAUUUAUGCUUUCUCUCUUAUAUAGUAAACUGCUACUUAGACAACAUUUUGGAACGAAUACAAAAAAAAAAAAAAUGUAUAAUAUACAUUAUGUAUGUGUAAAUGCCUACAUAAUUUUGAAUUUAAUUAAUUAGAUUAAAUGUUAAACCACUUGAAUUUGGAGUUGACAGGCGGACUUUGAUAAUAAUGAUAUUAAAAGUAUUUAAAAUAACUGUACAAAACCUUAAUUAUAUUGUAAGUAAUUAUUUAUAUUUUAAUGGCUUAACCCAAAAUCUGGGUUCUGGAUAUAAUACCUACGUAUUUCUUUAAAUAUCUUAAACUUCUUAGAGAUAAUAACUAUACAUAUUUUAUGAUUGAAUGGUUGUCAACUAUUUUAGAUUAAAAUUUGUUAGCAUAGAAAAUAAAGAAAUUACUUUUCAAUAAAUAGUCGUGGUCUAGGAUAUAUUAUAUAUGAUUAGUGAUUAUUGAUUACUUAAAGUAGAGCCUAGAAGCAUCUAGGUUAGGUCUAUCUAACUGAGCGCAGUAAUAAAUGUAUUGGUUUUACUAGAUGUGUGCUUUUUUCUAUGUCUGUAAACAACAUUUUUGCAAGAACCCUUGUUCCAACCAAAAACUAUAUAGACAUUUUCUUAUACAAUUUUUUAUUUUGUUGAUGCAUUGAGCAAGUUUCUUAUGAUUUUUUUUGAAGUUUUCUUAAUAAAUGGAAAAAAACUGGCAAUAUUUUUUGUACAAUUUUGUUGAUUUCUAACGUAGGUAUCAAGAGAAAAAUAUAAUUUAUAACAAUAUUGAAAUAAUACUCUUCUCGGAAUCGCUUUUUGUUAAUAAAGGUUUAUCUUUACAUAUGCCACAAAUUCAAUUACUCUAUAUAUCCUCGUUUUCAAAGUUCCAACUGCCUUUUCCUAAUACACACAUCAGCAAACUCAGCACACUCAUUAGCAGUAUUAGACUUUUUUUGUUGUGUAUUUAUAUUUAAUGAAUAUUAUUCUUAUAUUAAAAUUACUUCUAUCGGUACAAUAAUAAUGCACCAUGUAUCAUGUACGUACUCGCUACGCAUAAUACAGUAGAGUGCAAACUAUAAAAUUAUCGAACGGACUACAGACUUUUUUAAAAGAUAAACUCACACAAAACACCGCCACCACUGCCGGUUGUAAUUGCUAAAUAAUAUUUUGUCAUGCCGGUUACGUAAGAUUAAUUUUUAAGGCAUUAAAAAGAACAUUUAAAAUUAAUCGAAUUUUAGACAUUUAUAAAAAAAAUGUAUUAGAACUUGUUUAAUGUAGCUCUAAUCGAUCUAAAAUGUCAGUCUGAUCUACGUGACAUUUCAAAUAAAAUGAGUGCAUUUGCAAUUUAUAAUUAUUCAGUUGUUCUAGUAGUUUGUCCACGUAAAAAAAAACCACGAACAUGCUAAUUAAUGUUUACGGAAAUUAUAAAAUAUAGAUAUCUUUUUAAUUUUUAACUAAACAUAUUUAUACAUUUAAAUAAUUAAAUUUCUGUGUAGUUUUUUUAAGUUCAAAUCAUACGAUAAGGUUUAGUAAAAAAAGGAUUCGUGGAAAUUUUUACCUAGAUAUAAUGCGAAUACACAUAUUGAAUAAUAAGAAGAAUGUAUAAAUAUCGUAACAGAAAAAUUAACUAAAAAUGCAUUAUAUUUGCUUAAACAUUAUCUGGGAGAAUUAUAAAUAUACCUACUUUUUACGAUACGCUCCAUUAUCUAACUAUCUCGUAAAGUAUAUUUUUGCUAGACAAUGUUACAUCGAUUCAGUGCAUUAACUUUUAAAAUAUUAUUGCCAACAUUUUAAUGACAUGUUUAAAUUUUUAAUGUUUUUAGAUAAUAAUAAUUUUUUAUUCAAAAAAUUAUGUAAACAAACAUAAAACUGAUUUUUAAAAUUAUAAGUAAGUAAUAAUUAAAGUUAAUUUUUUUUCAAUAAAUAAACCAUUAAUAAUACAAAUAAAAUUACGUGAUCUGACUUGUCAAAAAUAAAAAAAAAUAUAGACAUACUUUGCACUGUAGGUGGGCCACGGUUGUAGAUGAAAAAUUGGGAUGUCGAGAGAAUUUAAUGUUUAUCUGUACGUGACAAUUGAUCGUCACUAACGAAAAUCGAUUCUGAUUGGAGUUCGGUUGUACAUGUUUUGAAAAGCCGUAAUAUUUACGAUUUGAAAAUAAUGAAUUCUCUCAUUUUUCCUGUGUUUUUUCCCGAUUUUCCCAUUUAUUAAGAAAACUCCUGGAAAAAUAACCUCGUUAAAGUCUUAUCCUAGUAAAAUUUCUUUUCAGAAACAGUGCUACACAUGAAAAUCGGAGAAUAAUUUUUAGUAGAAAAGUUAUUCACAGAAAAAAAAUCAUCAUUGUAAAACAAAUACAUUCCUCGCUCCGCUUAGAAUCUAAAAUUACACUUGCAAAAACUUAGUUUAGGCUUGCAUAAUUAGAGAUCAUCCGUGUUUUCGAAAAUAUUGAUGAAUUACUAACCGCACUUAAAUUUAUUUUUAUUUGUUUAAUCCCUUUUAAUUGUGACUUAAGUCAAGAAUUCCAUGCCCUUGACAAUUAAAUGCCUACGAAAAAUGUUUUUUGACGCAGAGUUAAAUAUAAAAUGUAUAAUCAUAGCUACCGGUUUAUGGCUUAUUGUUUAUUUAAAAAAUAUGUAUAUAUAUAUAUAUAUAUAUACAAAUGCCUUUUUUAGAUGUGCAAUUAGGUAUUAUAAUAAGUUAUUUAUAUAGCGUUAAUAUAAUAUUAUUUAUUAUUUUGAUCAAACUAACCGUUUAAAGAAUACUUAUUGAAAGUAUAUAUUUCCAGAAUUGAACACGAUUGUUAUUUUUUUUAUUAAAUUUAAAAUUCCACUUAAUAUUAAAUUCUAACCAUCAAGAAUAACUAGCAUAUAUUAUAAAUCUCAUAUUUAUAUAUAUAUAUAUAUAUAUAUAUUUAUUUGAUCAAAUAUAAAUUUAAAAACGUAUAGAUAUUAUGUAACAACAUCUAAAACAUAUGCUAUUAUAUUUUAGUGUGUACGGUUGGUAGGUAAUAUAUAAUUUAUAAUGUAUUAUAGGUGCCUACAUGAUUUAAUAUAAUGUUCAUAAAACUACUGACCACGUGACUUUGAAGUAUCAAUUAUGGUGUUUUUAAUGAUAUUGGAUAAAGAACAAAUUACAAAGAACAUCUGGAAAAAAUCCAAAAAUGUUUAUAUUACACACGUGUUGUCUCGAGAAGUUUAAAUUAUGAGUGUAUUCAUCGUUUAACAGGAGGAAAAAUGUGAAUCUUAAAGAAAAUUAAAAUUGUUCGACCUUUGACAUUUAUUAUAAUUAUAAUGUUCUAGUUAUUAAAUUAUAACAUGGUGUGUAAUGUGUAAUAGUGUGUAAAGGUAAUGAAAUAUCUUAAUAUUAUAAUAAUUAUAAUAUAACAUUUAGUUUUUAGUAAUUAUUAUGAUGCCGAAAUAGAAAAGAUAAUAUCAUAUUGUAUUUUUUUUUCUUAGAAAUUAAUUAUAUUAGACCAACAUUUUUCAAUGACUAUUAACAUUUAUGCAC